ACUUUACAAUGCGGGAAACCGUGAUAAGGGGACACCGAGUGCUAGCAUCAUAUGCUAGCUGUCCAGGCGUGUAAACUACGCCUGUCAGCAAGGGCCGGGCAAGACCGGUGCCAGCCGCCGCGGUAAUACCGGCGGCUCGAGUGGUGGCCACGAUUACUGGGCUUAAAGCGUUCGUAGCUGGGUUGUUAAGUCUCUUGGGAAAUCUACCGGCUUAACCGAUAGGCGUCCAAGGGAUACUGGCAAUCUAGGGACCGGAGAGGUGAGGGGUACUUCGAGGGGUAGGAGUGAAAUCCUGUAAUCCUUGGGGGACCACC
rnacentral:rRNA from 1 species